rnacentral:rRNA from 1 species
CCGGUUGAUCCUGCCGAAGGCUACUGCUAUUGGAGUUCGAUUAAGCCAUGCGAGUCUAAGGGAUACUUGUAUCCCUGGCAUAAUGCUCAGUAACACGUGGAUAAUCUGCCCUCAGGUGAGGAAUAAACCCGGGAAACUGGGGCUAAUACCUCAUAGACACAGAAAGCUGGAAUGCUUCUGUGUUCAAAGCUCCGGCGCCUGAGGAUGAGUCUGCGGCCUAUCAGGUUGUAGUCAGGGUCAUGACCUGACUAGCCAACGACGGGUACGGGGUGUGAGAGCACUUGCCCGGAGAUGGUUUCUGAGACACGAAACCAGGCCCUACGGGGCGCAGCAGGCGCGAAAACUUCGCAAUGCGGGAAACCGUGACGAGGGAACUCCAAGUGUCUAUGCAUUGCAUAGACUGUUUUUUAGCCUAAAUAGCUAAAAGAGUAAGAGGUGGGCAAGACCGGUGCCAGCCGCCGCGGUAACACCGGCACCUCGAGUGGUAGCCACUAUUAUUGGGCCUAAAGCGUUCGUAGCCGGUUUGGUAAAUUCUUGGGUAAAUCGUACAGCUUAACUGUGCGGAUUCCGGGGACACUACCAGACUUGAGACCGGGAGAGAUCAGAGGUACUUGUAGGGGAGCGGUGAAAUGUUGUAAUCCUACAGGGACCACCAGUGGCGAAGGCGUCUGAUCAUAACGGCUUUGACGGUGAGGAACGAAACCCUGGGGCGCAAACGGGAUUAGAUACCCCGGUAGUCCAGGGCGUAAACGCUGCUGACUUGGUGUUGGAGAUCCUACGAGGGUGUCCAGUGCUGGCGCGAAGGCAUUUAGUCAGCCGCCUGGGGAGUACGGUCGCAAGACUGAAACUUAAAGGAAUUGGCGGGGGAGCACUGCAACGUGUGGAGCGUGCGGUUUAAUUGGAGUCAACGCCGGG